UGGGGAAUAUUGGACAAUGGGCGCAAGCCUGAUCCAGCCAUGCCGCGUGAGUGAUGAAGGCCUUAGGGUUGUAAAGCUCUUUCGGCGGGGACGAUAGUGACGGUACCCGCAGAAGAAGCCCCGGCUAACUUCGUGCCAGCAGCCGCGGUAAUACGAAGGGGGCUAGCGUUGCUCGGAAUCACUGGGCGUAAAGGGCGCGUAGGCGGACAUUUAAGUCGGGGGUGAAAGCCCAGGGCUCAACCCUGGAAUUGCCUCCGAUACUGGGUGUCUCGAGACCGGAAGAGGUGAGUGGAACUGCGAGUGUAGAGGUGAAAUUCGUAGAUAUUCGCAAGAACACCAGUGGCGAAGGCGGCUCACUGGUCCGGUUCUGACGCUGAGGCGCGAAAGCGUGGGGAGCAAACAGGAUUAGAUACCCUGGUAGUCCACGCCGUAAACGAUGGAUGCUAGCCGUUGGCAGGCUUGCCUGUCAGUGGCGCAGCUAACGCUUUAAGCAUCCCGCCUGGGGAGUACGGCCGCAA
rnacentral:rRNA from 1 species